rnacentral:lncRNA from 1 species
UAUUAUAUUUAUUUGUGAUGUUUUGUCACCUGCACAAUACCGGAGAAAAAAGAAAUCAAACCUUUUAUGAAAUCAAAUCUUUCCAAAACUAUUGAGAGGUUGACGGCGAUUAUAAUAACUUAUCUUUUUCGCUCUCAAAAUCAAACACACACUGCAUUGAUGCGACAUCUUCAGCCUUUCCCACAAGCAAUAGAAUCACCUCUACUCUACUCUACUGCUCCCCUCUCUCUAUCCUUCUUGCGCGUCCUUUCAUUUCCUCCCAAACCCUAGCCCAU